rnacentral:rRNA from 1 species
GACGAACGCUGGCGGCGUGCCUAAUACAUGCAAGUUGAGCGCUGAAGGUUGGUACUUGUACCAACUGGAUGAGUAGCGAACGGGUGAGUAACGCGUGGGGAAUCUGCCUUUGAGCGGGGGACAACAUUUGGAAACGAAUGCUAAUACCGCAUAAAAACUUUAAACACAAGUUUUAAGUUUGAAAGAUGCAAUUGCAUCACUCAAAGAUGAUCCCGCGUUGUAUUAGCUAGUUGGUGAGGUAAAGGCUCACCAAGGCGAUGAUACAUAGCCGACCUGAGAGGGUGAUCGGCCACAUUGGGACUGAGACACGGCCCAAACUCCUACGGGAGGCAGCAGUAGGGAAUCUUCGGCAAUGGACGAAAGUCUGACCGAGCAACGCCGCGUGAGUGAAGAAGGUUUUCGGAUCGUAAAACUCUGUUGGUAGAGAAGAACGUUGGUGAGAGUGGAAAGCUCAUCAAGUGACGGUAACUACCCAGAAAGGGACGGCUAACUACGUG